rnacentral:lncRNA from 1 species
CGAAAAGACUGCUUGAAAAAAAUCUACCAUAAGACUUAUUCAAGUUAUUUAAUUGCUUUUCCCCCAGGUUAAGAUAUUGGCAACUUAUUAUCAAAAUUUGCCAGAAUAGAAAUAGAAAUUGGCGUAUUGUUAUCGUUUACUUUUCUACAUUGGCUACAGGUAUAGGGGGAGGGUUGAGAUCUCAUAAACAUGUUAAACCCACA